rnacentral:lncRNA from 1 species
UUUCCUUCAAGUCCAGUUCUUUGAAAGUCCAAAUUUGCUCUGAACUGACUUCAAGCAAGUGCCCACUCUUGAACAAAUUACUGAGGCUGGAGGAUAAAGACACAAAUUGGCCAAACUUGGAUUACCUGCCUUCUGCAUCUUAAAGGAGUCAGUCCCAACUACAAAUUUAAGAGGAUCACAGAAACACCCACAAACUUACGAGGAUCACAGAAAACACCCCUACACCAACUUAUAGCCAAUCUAUUCAACCUGCAUUGUUAGCAGCUGAAAUGUGGAUGUGAUAGAAGAAGAUGAACUAUUUCUGAAUUCAAGAUGGACUCUGAAUUGAGAAGAUAGAUGCCUUGGACCUUAACACUAUUGAGCUAUCAACUAAACUGCAGACCACUUACCUUCAUAUUUAUGAAGUCUUGCUCUGUCGCCCAGGCUGGAGUGCAGUGGCACAAACUCGGCUCACUGCAAGCUCCAUCUCCUGGGUUCACGCCACUCUAGCCAGGAUGAUCUCCUGACCUCGUGAUCCGCCCGCCUCGGCCUUUCAAAGUGCUGGGAUUACAGAUGAGCCAUAUUUCUUCUGAGACUCUGCAGGGAACUGCCUGGAGCAUUUCUGAGCAUACCCGAAUGUAUAUAGGAUACAUUUUGAGAAACACGAUCACCAUAGCUUAUGGCUGUGAAACCUCAGUUGUAACAUCAAUAAAAUGGGAAGAACAAAAAAGUUGCUGUGAAGAUAAAAUGAGGCAGGUCCUGUCAACUGAUUGUGGAAGGAAAAUGAGAAUUUCAGAUGCCUGCUGAGAUCUGUGGAUGGAGUACUUUGUCCACAGGGCACUGAGCUCUGGCCAAACCAAAGACUUGUACUGCAUAGAUGUUCUUCAAUCUCUAUAGCUGGGAACUCUCUUCUUUUUGUAGUGCUUGCCCAUUGUAGAUGUUUAAUAAGUUUGCAUUACGUACAGGAGAAACUAUGAAAGUCCCUUAUAAAUAUAACAACCAUAAUGAUAAAAGGAAA